rnacentral:rRNA from 1 species
UACAGAGGUCCCAAGCGUUGUUCGGAUUCACUGGGCGUAAAGGGUGCGUAGGUGGCCAGGUAAGUUUGGUGUGAAAGCUCGGAGCUUAACUCCGAAAAGUCAUUGAAUACUAUCUGGCUGGAGGGUCGGAGGGAGACUGGAAUUCUCGGUGUAGCAGUGAAAUGCGUAGAUAUCGAGAGGAACACCAGUGGCGAAGGCGAGUCUCUGGACGACUCCUGACACUGAGGCACGAAAGCCGGGGAGCAAACAGG